UUUUUAAACAUAUUAACUAAGAAGUCAAUUUAAGAAAUAUAAGUGUUUUUGGUCUCCGAGAGUGUUUAAUUAUAACAAUAAUUAUUCCUCCCAGUACUUUUUGUGUGUGUAUUAUUAUAGCUUCUCUGUCCUGAAAGUAAGUUAUUUUCAAACAUUAAUCUUAUUAUUAAACAUCCAAAACAACAUUGACAUCAAACUAAAUGUACUAAAAUAAGUAUUUUUAUUUAAAAAAAAAAACAAUACUAAAAUAUCAUUAACAAAUAUUGAUUCAACUAAUCUAUUUUUUAAAAAAUCUGAUAAUUCAAUUCAACAGUACAAUCCAUUGGGUACAAAGGGUUGCACUGCUACUACAAUUACUAAAACCAAUGUAGAGAAUAUUUUUUUUGAUGGGGGGGG